UACGUAGGGGGCAAGCGUUGUCCGGAUUUAUUGGGCGUAAAGAGCGUGUAGGCGGCCAGGGAGGUCCGUUGUGAAAACUCGAGGCUCAACCUCGAGACGCCGAUGGAAACCCCCUGGCUAGAGUCCGGAAGAGGAGAAUGGAAUUCCUGGUGUAGCGGUGAAAUGCGCAGAUAUCAGGAAGAACACCCGUGGCUAAGGCGGUUCUCUAGUACGGUACUGACGCUGAGACGCGAAAGCGUGGGGAGCGAACAAG
rnacentral:rRNA from 1 species